CUGAGAUUUGGGAAAAAUAAGGACAAAAUAUGUAUGUCCAAUAUGUCUCGGAUCUGAGGACAGAAUGAUAGCUAUUCUGUAUGCCUAUUCUAUUUCAGGAAAUGGAUGAUGAUCUGUGUAUAAGAUCUCGUGCCAUCCUCAUUAACAACUCUACAGAAAAGGUGACUAGUGCUCAGAGGUUAAUUAAUUUCCAUAGUUUAGACAGCAGAGAGUGGAGGUUCAGGUCUCCAAAUUCACACUCGCCUGAUGCCAGGCCAUAUACCUCUAUUCCGGCCCUCUGCUAUUGCCUGUCUACCCCAAUUUGCCAGCAGCCUCUAGGUCCAGGGGUCAACUGUAGCUCGAGGGCCAAAUUUGGCCUGCUGCUAGUUUUGUAAAUAAAGUUUUAUUGGAACACCUCUACUUUGUUUACUGAUCAUCUAUAGCAGCUUUCCCACCACGAUGGCAGAGUUGAGUGGUGUAACAGAGACAUAUGGCCCACUUAACUUAAAAUAUUUAUACCGGGUCUUGUACAGAAAAAUUUUGCUGACUCUUGCCUAUUAUAGACAUGCUUGUGUUUACAACUCCAUCCCUUCCAGUCAGAGGGACAAUGCACAUUUCUCUUUAAGUCCAUUUACUUUCUCCUAUCCAAAUUCAAGAGUCAAUUUUGGUUUAGAAUUUAUCAAAAGUCCUUCUCAUAUAACUUGAGAUUUAGAAAAGCAGAUAGUUUUUGGUCCUAAAACUCAUAAGCAAUAUGGUAACAUUUAAUCGAUUUUCUUUUUGAAUGGCCAGAAGGUGCAAAUGACAUAGUUACCAUGCCAAAAAUUGUCAAAAAUCGUUAAUAAGGUUGGUUCGCUUCACCUAUUUUAAGAAAUCCGGAACUAAUUGCUCUCAAUUAAUCUGCUCCACUCUCUGAUCGCUUAUUUAUCAGAUUGAGAAAGAUUUAAUAGUGCUUGCUUGAAACCAGUUCUUUAAUUGGAAACACCACAGCAUUUAGCUCACUUUGUACUCCAGCAAUUAAGAACGAUUUGGAAAAGUGUUGUUGAUUUUUUUUUUUUACACUAUUGUCUCCUUGAUUAGAUUUCCGAAGAUCCAGACAAAACAAAUGACAAUACCAGCUAGCACUAUUGGUACAAAUAAAAGCCCAACAGCCAGAUUAGUUACUAUGAGAAAUGUGAGCCAUCCUCAUCCAUUUCGUCAGUGUCUUACAUUUAUUUCCCUGUAUCCUUGUCUCCUGUGUAGUUCUGACUACUCAUAAUCUCAGCAGUGUAUGAUAUGCAGUCGUUUGCAAUUUUGCUGAGAUAAGCAAGAGGGAGCCCCUUCUCUGAACUCCUGAUUUUCAGCUGAGUAUGUGACUGCUCAGAAUAAAGAACACAUUUCCAAACUCCCUUGAAGCUACAUGUGGCCAUAUGACUGAGUUCUGGUCAAAGGCAGAGAAACAGACAUGUACGUGCAACCUUCAAGAAGAUUCUCAAAGGGAAGGACUCUUCCUUCCUCUUUCCUGUUGGUUGAACUGCCCCAGUAUUGGCUAGACCUUCGAUCAUGAGGUGGAAGCCUCAUUUUGAGAACGGCAAAACCACAAGAGCCUAGGUCCCUGAUGAUCAUGAAACUGCCACACCAAACCUAGACAUUAUGUGAAAGAGAAAUAAAGGUGCGUCUGUUAAUGUCACCAUUACUUUGGCUCUAGAGUCGCUUGCAGCCAAAUCUAAUCCCACGUGAGUAGGAGAUAUGGCUAAUAUUGCUACCUGCCUAUCCAAUAUCCACUCCCUCCUUCUUCUUGCAAAAGCACCCCAAUGUCACUCAAAGUGCCAACAUGCAGAGUAAAAAAAUCGUGAUUUCCCAAGUUCCAGUGUCAUUAGGAUGGCCAUGUGACAGAGCUGGCAAUGAAAUGCAGUGUAAGUCUACUGGACAGGGCUCCUAUUUUCCUCAUAAAAAGAAAUAGGCUCUUCUUCCUGCCAGAAAUGUGGAAGCACUGCCUGGAGGGACAGCACCUAUGCUGUAACUAGAGGGUGAAAGUCAUAUGCUAAGGUAAAGAUGGUGAAGCAGAAAAAUAAAAGGUGCUUGGAUGGACAGUAUGGAAUUGCUACAUCGAUUUGGACUUCAUGCCUUUAGUUUUCUUACAAUAUGAGAAUAACUAAUCUCUUACUUGUCUAAGUAACCUAGUCAAGUUUCUAUGAUAUCCAAUCAAAGAUAAUCUUGACAUAAAGGAAUUCAUUGUUCAGUUCUGGUGAUUUUAAGUCAGGGAUGCCCGAUAAGGGUCCAAAUGGAUAUAACGUGUACACAGUUGGAUACGAGUCUGUAAACCUGGAAGUCAGAAUAAUUAAGUGCUAUUUAGAGCCAUGGAACUAGAUGACAUGACAUUGGAGUUAGGUAUAGAUGAAGAAAAGAGGC